rnacentral:lncRNA from 1 species
AUCAUUGAUUAAAAUACAGUCCGUGUAACGUAAAAGUUAACAAUACGAACGAUGCCCGAACCAUGUACGGACGAUGCCCGAACGAUGUACGUACGCUUCCCGAACGGUGUACGAAUGCAAACGAAACGCUGACCGAACGUUGUACGGACGCUGAACGAAUGAUGUACGAACGAAACCAUGUACCAUAAACCAUACCAUAAACGAUAACAUAAGCGCCCUUUUAUCGUAUAUCCUAUGGUUUUGCGUUAAUCGUUUCAUUUAGCGUAUACCGUAUCGUUUAGCGUACAUCGUUUCGUUUAGCGUAUAUCGUAUCGUUUAGCGUACAUCGUUUCUUGGCGUGCAUAGUUUCGUUUAGCGUAUAUGUUUUUUUUUAAAUAUAAAACAUGAAUUGUGUUCUGUUAAAUCUUUUUAUAUAGGUGAUAAUAUGCGUAAAA